CGCACGGGUGAGUAACACGUAAGUAAUCUACCCUCGGGUGGGGAAUAACGUCCGGAAACGGACGCUAAUACCGCAUAAUGCAGCGGCACCGCAAGGUGACAGUUGUUAAAGAUUUAUUGCCUGGGGAGGAGCUUGCGGCAGAUUAGCUUGUUGGUAAGGUAACGGCUUACCAAGGCUACGAUCUGUAUCCGGUCUAAGAGGACGGUCGGACACACUGACACUGAAUAACGGGUCAG
rnacentral:rRNA from 1 species